rnacentral:rRNA from 1 species
AGCGAACGCUGGCGGCAGGCUUAACACAUGCAAGUCGAGCGGACCUUUCGGGGUCAGCGGCGGACGGGUGAGUAACGCGUGGGAACGUGCCUUCCGGUUCGGAAUAACCCUGGGAAACUAGGGCUAAUACCGGAUACGCCCUUUUGGGGAAAGGUUUACUGCCGGAAGAUCGGCCCGCGUCUGAUUAGCUAGUUGGUGGGGUAACGGCCUACCAAGGCGACGAUCAGUAGCUGGUCUGAGAGGAUGAUCAGCCACACUGGGACUGAGACACGGCCCAGACUCCUACGGGAGGCAGCAGUGGGGAAUAUUGGACAAUGGGCGCAAGCCUGAUCCAGCCAUGCCGCGUGAGUGAUGAAGGCCUUAGGGUUGUAAAGCUCUUUUAUCCGGGACGAUAAUGACGGUACCGGAGGAAUAAGCCCCGGCUAACUUCGUGCCAGCAGCCGCCGUAA